rfam:Ovis aries breed Texel chromosome 7, whole genome shotgun sequence.
UCCCUGGCAGUCUAGUGGUUAAGACUCCACACUUCCAAUGUAGGGGGCAUGGGUUCAAUCCCUAGUCAGGGAA